rnacentral:rRNA from 1 species
GACGAACGCUGGCGGCGUGCCUAAUACAUGCAAGUCGAGCGGACCAAAGGGAGCUUGCUCCUGGAGGUCAGCGGCGAACGGGUGAGUAACACGUGGGCAACCUGCCUGUAAGACUGGGAUAACAUCGAGAAAUCGGUGCUAAUACCGGAUAAUAAAAAGAACUGCAUGGUUCUUUUUUGAAGAUGGUUUCGGCUAUCACUUACAGAUGGGCCCGCGGCGCAUUAGCUAGUUGGUGAGGUAACGGCUCACCAAGGCAACGAUGCGUAGCCGACCUGAGAGGGUGAUCGGCCACAUUGGGACUGAGACACGGCCCAGACUCCUACGGGAGGCAGCAGUAGGGAAUCUUCCGCAAUGGACGAAAGUCUGACGGAGCAACGCCGCGUGAGUGAUGAAGGUUUUCGGAUCGUAAAACUCUGUUGUUAGGGAAGAACAAGUGCCGUUCGAAAGGGCGGCACCUUGACGGUACCUAACGAGAAAGCCACGGCUAACUACGUGCCAGCAGCCGCGGUAAAG